rnacentral:rRNA from 1 species
GUGGACGCCAGUCUGCAUGGAGCCGACCUUGAAAUACCACCCUUUAAUGUUUGAUGUUCUAACGUGGACCCGUAAUCCGGGUUGCGGACAGUGUCUGGUGGGUAGUUUGACUGGGGCGGUCUCCUCCUAAAGAGUAACGGAGGAGCACGAAGGUUGGCUAAUCCUGGUCGGACAUCAGGAGGUUAGUGCAAUGGCAUAAGCCAGCUUGACUGCGAGCGUGACGGCGCGAGCAGGUGCGAAAGCAGGUCAUAGUGAUCCGGUGGUUCUGAAUGGAAGGGCCAUCGCUCAACGGAUAAAAGGUACUCCGGGGAUAACAGGCUGAUACCGCCCAAGAGUUCAUAUCGACGGCGGUGUUUGGCACCUCGAUGUCGGCUCAUCACAUCCUGGGGCUGAAGUAGGUCCCAAGGGUAUGGCUGUUCGCCAUUUAAAGUGGUACGCGAGCUGGGUUUAGAACGUCGUGAGACAGUUCGGUCCCUAUCUGCCGUGGGCGCUGGAGAACUGAGGGGGGCUGCUCCUAGUACGAGAGGACCGGAGUGGACGCAUCACUGGUGUUCGGGUUGUCAUGCCAAUGGCACUGCCCGGUAGCUAAAUGCGGAAGAGAUAAGUGCUGAAAGCAUCUAAGCACGAAACUUGCCCCGAGAUGAGUUCUCCCUGAGACUUAGAGUCUCCUGAAGGAACGUUGAAGACGACGACGUUGAUAGGCCGGGUGUGUAAGCGCAGCGAUGCGUUGAGCUAACCGGUACUAAUGAACCGUGAGG